rnacentral:sRNA from 1 species
UGGUGUGAGAGUGGAUCGGAUAAAAAGCACUUGGGGUCGAAACACGGCAAGACUCCCAGGUGCUUUUUUGC